UGUCCUCCAUCGGAGGUCUAGAUUGAGCAGAUUCUUUUUGGUGCUGGGUGGUAGAACUGGAGCUUGCUCUAUCCACUCCAUGCAUUGACCUGGUUUUGCAGUGCUUCCAGGACCGGUGC
ensembl:snRNA U2 U2 spliceosomal RNA